UUCAGAUAGUACAAACAUAUCAGAUAUUCUCUAUGCAUUUUUGUAAUUCUAACCAAAUAUACCAUUUCUUCUGUGACAUAUCACCAAUUCUCAAGCUGCCUUGUGAGGACACUUCAGUGCAUGAACUGCCUGUCUUUGUGGUUGUCUCAGUGGCCUUUGCUCUCCCCUUUAUACUGGUGGUUACAUCUUCCAGCAAAAUCAUUGCCACCAUCCUGAGGUUGCCAACAGCCAAAGGUCGGGCAAGAGCCUUCUCCACGUGUUAUUCCCCCUGCUGGUGGUACUGUUGUUAUGGAUCUGCUACAGUUACUAGAGACCAACAUCCUUGUGUUCCUCUAGAACUGACAAACUGUUCUCUCUGUUCUAUGCAGUUGUGAUUCCUAUGUUAAAUCCUCUGGUAUACAGCCUAAGGAACAAGGAGGUGACUGCUGCACUCAGAAAGUUAAUA
rnacentral:lncRNA from 1 species